CUCUCUAUUGGUCACUUCUCACUUGAUCUGUGAAUAAAAUAAAUGCAUUAAAAAUAAAUUAAAAGAAAAUAAAACAUCUUAGUUUCCAUCAAAUAUUCUCUUUAUUUUAGUGCCACAGAUGGAACUCCGAAUCCAUUAUCCAUCUUACUUUUUUAUGAUUCAUCCAUAUAGUGUUUUGGAGUCAGGGAUUUUGGACGGACUGCCAAUCACCCAAAAUUCAAAAUAAUCAUGAUUCGGGCGAAACAGAAUGCACAAAUCUAGUUGUCAUGUGUGGAUAACUUAGGGAUGUGUUAACUAAACCAGGAGUUGUCAAGAUUUGGCAAAAGACCUGCAAAUCUAGGCCCAAAAUUUGCUGUUUAGCAUCAUUACUGUUAUAUAAAAUAUUGUAUAUUUUUGUCUUACCUUUUUCUGGUGCAAGAUAACAACAUAUACAUGUUCAACACUAUUGAUGUUUCCAAUAUGUUUU